UCAAAUUAGCUUGGCCGACUGCUGCCAUGGAAACCUGAAGUGCUCCCACCUCCCAGGGGAUGUAUAAUGGAUGGUGAAUGUCAGAAGCCUGCAUCCUGUGUUACUUAUCUGACAUUGUGGUGGACUGUUGAUGACAACUGAUGUCCUCUACUAAUCAUCACCAUUGUCUUGGAAAACUGAUAUGAAAAAAGUCAAAUAAUUUGCCAAAAGAGACAACUGAUUAACUAGUAUAGUCACAAUUCUAAGCCAGGAAGUCUAACUCCAAAGAGUAUGCUUUUAAUCAUUAUUAUGCUACUGAUAUUAAUACAACUUUGACAGGAAGAAUGCACAGCCCUCACCCCCAAAAUUCAGAACUGUGUAAAUAUCUCACUCCCAUUCUCGUCUUCCAUCUACCAUCCACCAUACUUCCCAACCACAGUAUAAUGGUGCGUGAGUUAACAUAUCAGGUAGGAAGCGCAAAGCUAGGCAGCUGUCACCUCCCAAUUCAGCCAGAGCAUGGCUGAGAUGUUUUUGUCCAAGGAAGAACUGUAUUUGGGGAUGGACUAAAACUUAAACACUCUUUGAAGCCCUCAUUGGCCACUUCCUAGCAGACACUUUGGGAUCCUUGAAUCUUUCCCUUGUGUUAUAGUGACCUCAAUUUCUGGAUGAUCCCUUCUUAAUAGAAUAGACCUCUACUUGGGUGGUGCUUUAAUUCAGCUUAGUGUGUUUGGGCAAGCUGUCUGUUGCUGUCUCUGCCAUCACUGUGCAUAAAAGGGAAGACGGUGGGUCAGGGGAUGGCAGCGGCCAAUCAAGAGAUAACAGCCCUCUGCUAAAGCUUCCUUCCUUGCUUUAAUCAAAUGAAGAAUGCACCAGAUGAGGGUCACUUGGAACACAUAGGGAAAGGUAGAAUGCCUACAAAGAAUCUUCCAGACCCCAUACUACUGCAUUUCCAUGAAAUGCACAAGGUCCAUGGGAAGGAUUAUUUUACAAAUGAGGAGGCUAGGGAUUAAGAGGUCCUCAAACACACAGCCAAGAAAUGGCAAAACAGGAAUCACAGGCCUCAGACCAAAGCCACCAUCCGAACAGUAACUCAUUCCAGUUUUAAAAGUGACAGCAUCACAACUGGCCACUGGAUGACCUCAGAGUUCAAUCCUGCUAAAAGUAGCUUUGGAUUGAGACCAUCCUGGCCAACAAAGUGAAAUCCCGUCUCUACUAAAAUACAAAAAAUUAGCCAGGCAUGGUGGCAUGCACCUGUAGUCCCAGCUGCUCGGGAGGCUGAGGCAGGGGAAUCCCUUGAAUCCAGGAGGCAGAGGUUGCAGUGAGCUGAGACUGCACCACUGCACUCCAGCCUGGCGACAGGGCCAGACUUUGUCUCAAAAAAAAAAAAAAAGUAGCUUUGAUGUUGAAAGGGGCUGGGUAGUAGAGAUCAGUUAGUGGGCCCUCCCCAAUCCUAGCCAAAAGGAGCACAGUAUCCAUUUCAUUUUCACAUCUUCAGGUUCUUCAAAGUCAUGCCUAAAGUGGGGAAAGAAUUAAAAGAUCUACUGUCAUUCUAACAGGAUUCAAAGAGAGGAACCACUGGAUGGAAAAAUGUGAAUUAUUUUAGACAAAGCCUUUAGCAUUUAAAAUACUCCUCAUCCCAUAAUUAAUCUAUUCCUUUCUCUCACGUUAUCAGCAUCAGUGCCUUGAUAUCAAAGUGUAUGUCAAUAAGUCACAGAAGGGAAGAUAAUAGUUGGAGUGACCUUCUGAGCUUCUAGGUUGUUCUACCCUCUCCCUUAAAGUCCUG
rnacentral:lncRNA from 1 species